CACGUAGGGCGCAAGCGUUGUCCGGAAUUAUUGGGCGUAAAGAGCGUGUAGGCGGUUUGGUAGGUCCGUUGUGAAAACUCGAGCUCAACCUCGAGACGCCGGCGGAAACCAUCAGACUAGAGUCCGGAAGAGGAGAGUGGAAUUCCUGGUGUAGCGGUGAAAUGCGCAGAUAUCAGGAGGAACACCAAUAGCGAAGGCAGCUCGCUGGGACGUUACUGACACUGAGGCGCGAAAGCGUGGGGAGCGAACAGG
rnacentral:rRNA from 1 species